rnacentral:rRNA from 1 species
GUGGGGAAUAUUGGACAAUGGGCGCAAGCCUGAUCCAGCCAUGCCGCGUGAGUGAUGAAGGCCUUAGGGUUGUAAAGCUCUUUCAGUGGGGACGAUAAUGACGGUACCCACAGAAGAAGCCCCGGCUAACUUCGUGCCAGCAGCCGCGGUAAUACGAAGGGGGCUAGCGUUGUUCGGAUUUACUGGGCGUAAAGCGCACGUAGGCGGAUCGUUAAGUCGGGGGUGAAAUCCUGGAGCUCAACUCCAGAACUGCCUUCGAUACUGGCGAUCUUGAGUCCGGAAGAGGUGAGUGGAACUCCUAGUGUAGAGGUGGAAUUCGUAGAUAUUAGGAAGAACACCAGUGGCGAAGGCGGCUCACUGGUCCGGUACUGACGCUGAGGUGCGAAAGCGUGGGGAGCAAACAGGAUUAGAUACCCCGGUAAGUCC